rfam:Zootermopsis nevadensis contig3601, whole genome shotgun sequence.
AGUACGGUGGUCUAGCGGUUAGAACGCUGGCCUUGUAAUCCUGGGGUCUCGGGUUCGAUUCCCGGCGGUGCCC